GUUACUGUAGCUUAAAUUAAAGCUUAAUACUGAAGACAUUAGGAUGGACCCUAAAAAGCCCCGGAAACA
rnacentral:tRNA from 1 species